AGUGAACGCUGGCGGUAGGCCUAACACAUGCAAGUCGAACGGCAGCACAGGAGAGCUUGCUCUCUGGGUGGCGAGUGGCGGACGGGUGAGGAAUACAUCGGAAUCUACUCUGUCGUGGGGGAUAACGUAGGGAAACUUACGCUAAUACCGCAUACGACCUACGGGUGAAAGCAGGGGACCUUCGGGCCUUGCGCGAUUGAAUGAGCCGAUGUCGGAUUAGCUAGUUGGCGGGGUAAAGGCCCACCAAGGCGACGAUCCGUAGCUGGUCUGAGAGGUUGAUCAGCCACACUGGAAAUGAGACACGGGCCAGACUCCUACGGGAGGCAGCAGUGGGGAAUAUUGGACAAUGGGCGCAAGCCUGAUCCAGCCAUACCGCGUGGGUGAAGAAGCCCUUCGGGUUGUAAAGCCCUUUUGUUGGAGAGAAAUCCAGCUGGCUAACACCCGGUUGGGAUGACGGUACCCAAAGAAUAAGCACCGGCUAACUUCGUGCCAGCCGCCGCCUAA
rnacentral:rRNA from 1 species